UACGUAGGUGGCAAGCGUUAUCCGGAAUUAUUGGGCGUAAAGCGCGCGCAGGCGGUCCUUUAAGUCUGAUGUGAAAGCCCAUGGCUCAACCGUGGAGGGUCAUUGGAAACUGGGGGACUUGAGUGCAGAAGAGGAAAGCGGAAUUCCACGUGUAGCGGUGAAAUGCGUAGAGAUGUGGAGGAACACCAGUGGCGAAGGCGGCUUUCUGGUCUGUAACUGACGCUGAGGCGCGAAAGCGUGGGGAGCAAACAGG
rnacentral:rRNA from 1 species